rnacentral:miRNA from 1 species
AUCUUAUUUCAAACAUUCCAGCAACUAUUUUUGUGUAUGUACUUAGCUGUACUAUUAUAAGUAGUUGGUUUGUAAGAGAUGGUUAAAAA